GUGCCAGCAGCCGCGGUAAUACGGAGGAUNCAAGCGUUAUCCGGAUUCAUUGGGUUAAAGGGUGCGCAGGCGGAAUAGUAAGUCAGUGGUGAAAUCCUGCAGCUUAACUGUAGAAUUGCCAUUGAUACUGCUAUUCUUGAGUAUAGUUGAGGUGGGCGGAAUGUGUAAUGUAGCGGUGAAAUGCAUAGAUAUUACACAGAACGCCAAUUGCGAGGGCAGCUCACUAAACUAUAACUGACGCUGAGGCACGAAAGCGUGGGGAGCGAACAGGAUUAGAUACCCUGGUAGUCCACGCUGUAAACGAUGAUCACUAGCUGUUGGCAAUACACAGUCAGCGGCUGAGCGAAAGCGUUAAGUGAUCCACCUGGGGAGUACGUCCGCAAGAAUGAAACUCAAAGGAAUUGACGGGGGCCCGCACAAGCGGUGGAACAUGUGGUUUAAUUCGAUGCUACGCGAGGAACCUUACCUGGGCUUAAAUGCAGGACGACGUUCCGGGAAACUGGAACUCCCUUCGGGGCGGACUGCACGGUGCUGCAUGGCUGUCGUCAGCUCGUGCCUUGAGGUGUCGGGUUAAGUCCCAUAACGAGCGCAACCCCUAUUGUUAGUUGCCAGCGAGUAAUGUCGGGGACUCUAACAAAACUGCCCGUGUGAGCGGGAGGAAGGUGGGGAUGACGUCAAGUCAGCACGGCCCUUAUGUCCAGGGCUACACACGUGUUACAAUGGUCGGUACAAAGGGCAGCUACCACGCGAGUGGAUGCUAAUCUCUAAAGCCGGUCUUAGUUCGGAUCGGAGUCUGCAAUUCGACUUCGGAAGGCGGAAUCGCU
rnacentral:rRNA from 1 species